rnacentral:rRNA from 1 species
UACGUAGGGUGCGAGCGUUAAUCGGAAUUACUGGGCGUAAAGCGUGCGCAGGCGGUUAUUUAAGACAGAUGUGAAAUCCCCGGGCUUAACCUGGGAACUGCAUUUGUGACUGUAUAACUAGAGUUUGGGAGAGGGGGGUGGAAUUUCGGGUGUAGCAGUGAAAUGCGUAGAUAUGUGGAGGAACACCGAUGGCGAAGGCAAUCCCCUGGGCCUGCACUGACGCUCAUGCACGAAAGCGUGGGGAGCAAACAGGAUUAGAUACCCUGGUAGUCCACGCCCUAAACGAUGUCAACUGGUUGUUGGGUCUUCACUGACUCAGUAACGAAGCUAACGCGUGAAGUUGACCGCCUGGGGAGUACGGCCGCAAGGUUG